rnacentral:rRNA from 1 species
AUUGAACGCUGGCGGCAGGCCUAACACAUGCAAGUCGAGCGGUAGAGAGGUGCUUGCAUCUCUUGAGAGCGGCGGACGGGUGAGUAAUGCCUAGGAAUCUGCCUGGUGGUGGGGGAUAACGUUCGGAAACGGACGCUAAUACCGCAUACGUCCUACGGGAGAAAGCCGGGGGGAUCUUCGGACCUCGCGCCAUUAGAUGAGCCUAGGUCGGAUUAGCUAGUUGGUGAGGUAAUGGGCUCACCAAGGCGACGAUCCGUAAUGGUCUGAGAGGAUGAUC